rnacentral:rRNA from 1 species
CACAUGCAAGUCGAGCGGUAGCACAGAGAGCUUGCUCUCGGGUGACGAGCGGCGGACGGGUGAGUAAUGUCUGGGAAACUGCCUGAUGGAGGGGGAUAACUACUGGAAACGGUAGCUAAUACCGCAUAACGUCGCAAGACCAAAGUGGGGGACCUUCGGGCCUCAUGCCAUCAGAUGUGCCCAGAUGGGAUUAGCUGGUAGGUGGGGUAACGGCUCACCUAGGCGACGAUCCCUAGCUGGUCUGAGAGGAUGACCAGCCACACUGGAACUGAGACACGGUCCAGACUCCUACGGGAGGCAGCAGUGGGGAAUAUUGCACAAUGGGCGCAAGCCUGAUGCAGCCAUGCCGCGUGUGUGAAGAAGGCCUUCGGGUUGUAAAGCACUUUCAGCGGGGAGGAAGGCGAUAAGGUUAAUAACCUUGUCGAUUGACGUUACCCGCAGAAGAAGCACCGGCUAACUCCGUGCCAGCAGCCGCGGUAAUACGGAGGGUGCAAGCGUUAAUCGGAAUUACUGGGCGUAAAGCGCACGCAGGCGGUCUGUCAAGUCGGAUGUGAAAUCCCCGGGCUCAACCUGGGAACUGCAUUCGAAACUGGCAGGCUAGAGUCUUGUAGAGGGGGGUAGAAUUCCAGGUGUAGCGGUGAAAUGCGUAGAGAUCUGGAGGAAUACCGGUGGCGAAGGCGGCCCCCUGGACAAAGACUGACGCUCAGGUGCGAAAGCGUGGGGAGCAAACAGGAUUAGAUACCCUGGUAGUCCACGCUGUAAACGAUGUCGAUUUGGAGGUUGUGCCCUUGAGGCGUGGCUUCCGGAGCUAACGCGUUAAAUCGACCGCCUGGGGAGUACGGCCGCAAGGUUAAAACUCAAAUGAAUUGACGGGGGCCCGCACAAGCGGUGGAGCAUGUGGUUUAAUUCGAUGCAACGCGAAGAACCUUACCUGGUCUUGACAUCCACAGAACUUUCCAGAGAUGGAUUGGUGCCUUCGGGAACUGUGAGACAGGUGCUGCAUGGCUGUCGUCAGCUCGUGUUGUGAAAUGUUGGGUUAAGUCCCGCAACGAGCGCAACCCUUAUCCUUUGUUGCCAGCGGUUCGGCCGGGAACUCAAAGGAGACUGCCAGUGAUAAACUGGAGGAAGGUGGGGAUGACGUCAAGUCAUCAUGGCCCUUACGACCAGGGCUACACACGUGCUACAAUGGCAUAUACAAAGAGAAGCGACCUCGCGAGAGCAAGCGGACCUCAUAAAGUAUGUCGUAGUCCGGAUUGGAGUCUGCAACUCGACUCCAUGAAGUCGGAAUCGCUAGUAAUCGUAGAUCAGAAUGCUACGGUGAAUACGUUCCCGGGCCUUGUACACACCGCCCGUCACACCAUGGGAGUGGGUUGCAAAAGAAGUAGGUAGCUUAAC